GCGGGGUCUUACUCGAUUGAUGGCAGCUAAUUUACAAGAAUAAAUGAAUCGUUACCAAGAUUAUUUCCGCUUUUAUCAGUAAUCGAAGUGAAAAUGUGGUUGAAAAGUGCAGUUUAAGUUAUAAACGCACGUUUCUGACGUGCGUAUUGUGGUAGAAAAUGUAUAUUCGUAGCACGCUAGGAGCCAUUUUUGCUAUAUUUAUUUUAUGCGUUCAUUGUGAUAAUGCAGCUAAUUACAACGAAAUUACGAGGAUUUACGUUCCGUCCGCACCACAGAACCUGACAGCCAAUAGGGUGACAGCAGACGAAAUCCACCUAUCAUGGGCCCCGCCUUUGACCUCGAUCCCUGCGCCCAAACACCUAUCAGAUCUCAAGACCCAAACACCAACGACCACCGAUCGAGACGUUUCCAAGAAGAAGCAUGAACAGCAGUCGGACGAGCCUGUGAAUGACGUCAUAGAGGACUCCGCGGUUAUGUCCGACUCGCCAGUCAAUCUGAAGGAUUUUGACUACACCUGGUACAAGAGCGGGCGAGAGAAGUUUGACGACAUCAUCAUUGACGAACAGUAUCGGAGUAAAAGGGAGCUCCGAUCGCAUCGCCACAGAAAGAGACGUCAAAACAACGCGACAGAUAUCAAAACUCACCAUGAAAAAGACGAGGUGGAAACCCACCAAGCCGUUGAUAUGCCCAUCAAAGAAGUUGUGAAGAAAUCGUAUCCACCACCGAUUGUGCCACUUAAGAACCCAGCACAGAUCGCCUAUGUCUUGUACUAUGAGCAAGGGGUGCCAAGGUCAGACACGUCGACGAUAUUUGGAGUCCAAAGUUCUUCAGAAGUGAAGAAGAAGAAUGUAUUUCCAAGUGAUUUGGGCAUGGAGCAGUACUCGAGGGCCACGAAGAAUCUGACGUUGCUGAACACAUCUGGUGUUGUGACCAAAGUCGUCGGGUUCCGGUUGAGGAAUUUGAAGCCGUUCACUCCAUACAAGAUCUGGGUACGAGCGUUCUACAACUUCUCCUUGGAAGGCGUCAAGUCAUCCGACCUGAUCGACCGGCUGGGCCCACAGUCCACGCCCCUCUACGUCCUGACUGAUGUGCGGCCCCCAUCUGCGCCUAUUGUGCUGAAUUUGACUUGCGAUCAGCCCAAAGGAAUUCUAUUUCUUCAAUGGCGUCAACCGCUGGAGUACAACAACUCGUUGGACCAGUACGUGGUGACACUGCGCAAGAUCCCCGAGAUGCAGCCGCGCAGCCGCUUGACCAUGCCCACAAACAAGAGCGACAUUGAAACUACCAUCACGGUGAACGUGGACCUAUCAAACGUGACACAGUACGAAGUGAAGAUCUACGCGGUGACCCUGUCCGUGGCUCGUAACAACAUGCUCAUCAACGGGUCGGAGUCUCCGCCAGAGGAGAUAUCAAGCGAGUGGUGCACGUCGUCCCCGAGCGUGAGCGCGCCGGGCUCGGUGACGUCUGCGCGGGGCGUGAGCACGGCCGCGCUGCUGGGCGUCGUGCCGCUGGCGCUGAUCGCCGCCGCCGCCGUCGCCGCCGUCUACUGGCGGUGUCGGUCCAGACUGAGUAAGUGCAUCAGCGCGGCGUACAACUACCUAGAAGAGGGCGGCGAGAGAGCUGCUCGGGCGCCGCUCAACGCGUAUAAGAAACCAGUGGUGUCCCAGUCCCCGCUGGCGGCGGCGGGCGGCGCGGCGGAGGCGGGCCCGGCGCCGACGGCGGCCCCGCCGCGCAUGGCCACGGCGCACCACCCCGCCGUCAGCGCGCGCUGCUUCCCGCGACACGUGGCCGCGCUGCACGCCGACGGGGACAUCGGCUUCAGCAAAGAGUACGAGAUAGUGGUAGCGAAGUCCGCGGCACUCGGCCACACGAGCCAUCACAGCCACCGGCCAGAGAACAGACUCAAGAACAGAUACCUCAACAUUACUGCUUACGACCACUCCCGCGUGUGCGUGUCCGCGGGCGGGCGCUGCGGCGCGCGCGGCUGCGUGGGCGCGGGCCGCGGCGCCGCCUGCGACUACGUCAACGCCAACUUCAUCGACGGCAUGUUGCCCAGCCUGGGGCCCGAACACGUGCGCCGCAUACAGCGCAAGCUGCACCGCAGGCAGCCCUUGCAGAGAAAACCGUCAAUAAAGCCUGCAAAGCCGCCGCCUAACCUGACAGAGGGCAUAGAGUCCGCGUUCCUCAAUAUUGAGUUCUCCGGCAUAGUGGAGUCCACUGACCAGGACUCGGACAGCGAGCGCAGCGACACCGACACUGAGCUCGAUGACGUCUAUGUCGAUAUUGACGGCGAGAAGACCCGCGUGAAGCUAGAAUGGCUGGUGUGGCGCAGGCGCUAUAUCGCGACGCAGGGGCCCACGCCGGCAACGCUGGACGCGUUCUGGCGCAUGAUCUGGCAACAUCGCGUGCACACCGUCGUCAUGAUCACCAAUCUCGUCGAGCGCGGCCGGCGUAAGUGCGACAUGUACUGGCCGGACGGCGGGCGCGGCAGCACGGCGCAGUUCGGCGGCGUGCACGUGACGCUGCAGCACGAGGACGUGCGGGCCGCCUACACCGUGCGGCGCAUGCGCGUGCGCCCCGCCGCGCCCGCGCUAAACGGGGACAGCCCGGUGGGCAGCCCCGGGCAGUGCCGCACCGUGGUGCAGUACCACUACACGGUGUGGCCCGACCACGGCACGCCGCGGCACCCGCUCGCCGUGCUGCCCUUCGUGCGCGCCGCCAGCGCCGACGAGGGCACCGUGCUGGUGCACUGCAGCGCCGGCGUCGGCCGCACUGGCACAUACAUAGUGCUGGACGCGCAGCUCAACCAACUGAAGCUGACAGGCACCCUCUCCCCCCUCGGCUUCCUCUGCCGGGCGCGCACACAACGGAACCACCUCGUGCAGACAGAAGAACAAUACGUUUUCGUCCACGACGCGUUACUGGAACACGUCAGAUCCGGCGACACAGAAGUCGAAUUCACCAAAGCCAGAGAAUACUUGGCGAAGCUUCUAGAACCUAUCUCCGAGGAUGAGUUGGCUGUUCUGGACUUGAGUCCCCAAAAGGUUAAAAGCAGUAACGACCUAACGAAUGGCUUAGACGAUACAGCAAGCGUCAAGAGCCAAAGUCAAGAGGCACAGUCUUGUGCAAACGAUGCACAGUCCUGUGUUAAUGGGGACAACGAGUUGUUAGAGAAUGGGAGUCAGAUGUCGAUUAAGACUGAUGAGCUGAACAGUGAACAAAGCAAGUCGGUGAAGGAUGAUGAUGAAGGGCGGAGUGAACCCAUGGUGAACGGCGAAGAGACAGAAGGCGUGUACGACUUGGCGCCGCGGUCGACAGACACGUACAGUAAGAAGAUGCAAGCGUAUAACAACCUCAGUGAACAGGAGAAGGAAGAGAUUAGGAGGGUGAACCGAGCGGAAAACUACGCGUUGCUAGAACGCAUGCGGUCGCUGGCCAACAGACAUCACACGUAUCAGGGCCCGCCGCCUGUCAACCUGCUGGAGAAACAGUUCUUGCUCAUAACUCGAUCAUGCGUGGAGCCGAGCGUGUGUGCGCGCGCAGCUCACAACGUGGACAAGAACCGCGUCGGCGGCAUCCUGCCUUCGGACUCUGCUAGGGUCAUGCUCGUGCCCAAACCAGGAGUUGAAGGUAGCGACUACGUGAACGCGUCGUGGGUGUGCGGCCGGCGGCGGCUCCGGGAGUACGCGGUGGCCCAGCACCCGCCCACGCCUGCCGCGGCCGCUGACCUAUGGCGCUUACUCUGGGACCACACCGCGCAACUGGUACUUGUACUCAGUGACACCACCGAUCCGGAAUGCGAAAUAUUCUGGCCGACUGAGGACGAAAAGGAAUUAUUCAUAGCGAAUUUUAAAGCGAGUUUCGUAUCAAAAGACACUUACGUUGCGUACAAGAAAUCUGAACGAAAGACAGAAACCACUGCCCCUAUGGAACCAGAGACGAACGGCCACGGCCUUAGGCGGCAGGAGAGCGACUGCGCGGACGACGAGAGACUCAUACCCGAAAAUAGUUCCCCCGUGUCCGAAACCGAACCGCACUACAGAUUCGACCGAACCGAACUGCGGUUAGAACGCCUAAGCGCCGGCAACAGGGAUUUAUCCGCGCGAAAAUCGAUAGCGAACGGAGACUUAUUUUCAUCGUUAUCUGAGAAGAAAAACGGUCCAAAAUCGCCUAGGAGUCCUUCGAAAAUGUCUUUGAAGAACUUCAAGUUAAGUUCGCCGACGAAGUUUAAGUUUCCCGAGUGGGGCGGUAAGACGGCGGGGUCGCCGCCCGACGUGGCCCCGCCGCCGCCCCCCGUCGCCCCUUCACUCUCCGUCGAAGAAGAAGCCGAACUUCGCCGACCGGUGUACUACUUCGAAAAGGUCGAGACAGUCCCCGAAAGUAUACCAUCAGAUAGAAUAAUAGAGGUUAUAAACGUGAGUGUGCAUUCGUUGCAAGACGACUAUCAGUUAAGCGUUAAGUUUAUCAAAUGUUCGCAUUGGUUGGAAGGGCAUACUACGGAGUAUACGGCGGGGAAGCCUGAUGAUAACGAGUACGUAAGGGCGGUGAGAGAGGCGACGACGAAGAGCGAACGGGAAGAGGCGAUAGACAGGCUUGUGGAGCCGUAUAAAAACUCGUUCGCGUUGAUAGAAUAUGUGGCUGGUGCGCAGAUGGAGUAUAAGAACGGGCCGGUCGUCGUCGUGGACAAGUACGGCGGGUGGCAGGCGAUGUCGUUCUGCACGCUGAGCUCGGCGUGCGGCGCCAUGCGCGCGGCGCCCCCGCCCGAGCCGCCGCCGGCGCGCGCCGCCUCGCUGUACUGCGGCGCGGCGCUGGCGGCGCACGCGCGCUGCGCCACGCACCGCGCGCCGCACCGCCUGCCCGCGCUGCUGGCCGCCUACGCCGCGCUGGCCGCGCACGCGCCGCUGCUGCCGCCGCCCGAGGACCCAAUAGAGCGGACCCCAAACAGAUCUUCAGUAAUACAUUGAAACGUUAUCUAGUUGUAUAGAUGUGAAAUACUCAACGAGUUGUAUGGGAAUACUGCGGCCGAAUCGAGAAGUCGCCAAAUCUUCACACCGUCGUUCGUUUCAUUGUCAAUUUCGUUGCAAGUUUUUUUUAACUUGAUGUCGAUUUCAAAUAUAGAAACUGAACGUUACAUUGUAAUGUAACAACUUAGCACGUGACUUGCAAGAAAAACACGUUACAAAGAUAAUGGCAAUGGAACGAACGGAGCCUAUUUAAGGGUACAGUCAGACACAAAUAUAGCAUUUACUAACAUUUAGUCCCCUUCACGUCGAAAUGGAAUGCUCAAAGUGUUAACAACAAUAAAAUUAGCACUAAAACUUAGUUCUCUGUGGUCUGUUUUGAUAGGAUUUUCUAAAUUUAAAACAAAGUCCCUAUGAUUACUAUAUGGCUUAAAUGUGAAGUGGUUAUAUCCACUUAGGACUACGGAAGGUCUUCCUAUCUUGUGUGGGUUGUGAGCUCAAUAACCGACCUUAUCAACCCUGGUGUCAGGGUUACUAUUGAACCACCAAAGGCCCCUGACAUAGCUCAUGUAAGUACAUACAUACUACUAAUUGCAAUGGAUGUAGGAACUUAUGAAUUCACGCCAUUGCCAUUUCUAACUCCUUGAUUUCGGAUGGCUGUCAUUAUUUUAAUUUUUAACGAAUUUCGAUGUUGCUUUCGCGUUUGGCUAUCAAUUUAUUGAAACUAGUUUUUGAUACUUCUCAACUACCAUAGUAUUUGUGGUCAUACAUCAUUUGUUUGAAUAGGUCAUCAUCAUCUCUCGUUAUCGCGUUUUGACAGGUCCGAGUCAGGUUCUAACAUAACCUAAACAUGUGACAGGUCCGGUUUUUUUUACAUUUGUUGAAAAAGUAAAUUCUAUGUUACAUUUAGAUAGUCCUAUCAAAACAGAUUAUAAAUAUUCACUCACUAAAUCGUUUGUGAAUCCAACAAAGCUUUGUCUCUUAUGAAAUAAGAUGUGGUUGUGUAUAAGGAUAUUUUAUGGCUGAAUAUAUUGUAGCAUAUUGUUUUUAAAUAGAUUUACGUUGCUUAGGUCUUGAUAGCAAAAGAUGUGCAGAAUGACACAAACUCGCUGUAUUUUUGUGUUUAUUUUGAAGUCAUAAUAUUUCAGUAAGGGGUACAUUCGUUUCAGCGUUUUGGAUUUUAAUUUUAACAUGUGAAGAAGAUAUUUUCUUAAAAUGAAUCUAUACUACGAUCAAUGAGAAGUGCAAUGAGAUUAAAAAUAGAUGCAUAAAAAAUAAUGUCAAAUGAUAAAAAGAAUUGCAAUUCUAUUUUUGACAUAUUCUAAUUUUAAAAAUGUGAAUUCAUUCGACUACGUUUGUUUAUGACGUCACAAUUUGUGUUUUACUUUGGAAUUUAUCUAGGCCUCUAUUUUCGUUAUGUCUAUAGAAUGAAUGCGAGGAUGCAGUGAGUUUAUAUUGUCUAUGGUAGGGCGCUAGAUGGACUGCAAUUUCAGUACUCUAACAUUUCGAUGUAUAUGUUUUACAAAUCGACAAAUAUAAUGGCAACAAAACAAAUGAUCAGAAAGGUAUUUUUAUUUAGUUGGCAACAUUGCAGAUAUUGAUUAUAAGUUGGGUUUUUGCAAUAUUAGCAGUCAUCAUUAUUAAUUUACUUGCCACGCUCUUGUCGGUGUAGCAUUCUCCGUUCUUGAUAGUUCUUUGGCUUAUAAGAUACGACGUUCGAAUAUUAGAGUGAAAAGGCCCAUUUAUCUUACUCAGUUUACAAAUUAAUCACACAAUAAAAUCAUCAUCAUCGCGUCCAAGCCGUGUCCGGCGUUGGCGACUCCUAAAUGUCUAUCCCAGGUCGUUGUUAUAUAUAAGAUAGGCUCUAAUGUGGCUAGCAAAACCGAACUUCGAUUUGAAGGUUCGGCCACUUGGCGCACAGAAUAACUGGCCAGAAGAAUUAAACGUAUAGUUGUAGGAGGGCUUAAGAAAUAUGAAUAUACACAAUAAAAUACAAAGUACAUGAAAGGUAUGCAAUCUGUUUGAGAAAGAAUGAAAGAAGAGGCAGUCACUGUGGUCCUGUGGUAUACUAACUUCUCAAUCGGAGAGCGUCGGUUCAAACCCAGUACCGGACGUGCACCAAUGAGUUAUUAAUUUAAGUGAAGUUUUCACUAACACAGUUGGCUCGACCAUUAUAGACGGCGAUACGGCUCACCACCUAUCACGUUGGUCUAACAGAAAGCUCGGUGUAGUGUGAAUACCUAGUUCAUUUUGCGAUGGCCGUAACUCUGAUUACCCUAAUUAGAUAUAGUUGUGAGCUUUUGUUUAGAAAGAAUGAAAUGGUCAUUCAUAACGGUGGGUCUUUGUUAUUACAGAAUUAAGUCAAAUGCUAUCAUUAUAUUUGUCGACUGUACAUUAGAUAGAUACAGUAUUCCAGUGCAAUAUAUAGCUGAUCGCAUUUCAAAAUUAAAAAUAAAUAUUUUUUAAUACUUUUUUUGAAUAGCCAAUUUAUAUAGUUUGAGUAUCAAAGUUGUCUAUGGUAAAAGUAAAUUAGACUCGAAAAUGUAUUCGUAAUUCCUAUUAAAUCAAGUUUAUGGUCCAGUAUUUUUUAUUAUAAUAAUAAUUAUUAAUAAUAAAUAAUCUUAGAAGUAAAUACAUAAAUGUGAAGACUGCUUUUUAGUGGUUUGUCAAUUAAGAAAGGUUUUCGUUUGGUAUGACUCCAUUCUAACGAAACACAUAUGUACGGUCAUAGUUUAGAACCCUGUCCGAUCAACAUGUUUGACAUUUAGUAACCACUCUGUUUCAAUGUGUCAAAUAAGUGAAUGCGACAUGGUUCUAUGGUUUAUUCGUCGUGACCGUAUUCGAAAUUUACGUAAUAUUUUUGACCUUUAUGUAUAGAAAUGUCAGGUCAUGCUAGUAGGAUGGGGUCUGUUUUAAAGCCUUCGGGAUAGAAUUGUCGAGAUGUGAAAUACAUUUUAGUCGUUUGUCAGAAAACUCAGGGCUAUGAAUUCUUCAUUAUUAUCAUACAUAACAUCCAUAUAUACAUAUAUAAGAUAACGCAUAUUUCCUGUUGGGGAUAGUGAAGACCAAGGAAUUCCACUUACUAAGAUCGUGACACACAAUUUUCGCUUCUUUCGCACUCAUCAAAUCAUACAUAACAUAAAUAUCGUAUAUACGUCCCACUGGUGGACACAGGCCUCCUCUUACUCAACCGGACGGGCUAUGGAGCAUAUUCCAUCACUCGUCUAUGGUAGAUAUUUACUCACACACCUCAGACAGACACAAUUGUCACCCAUAAUCUGUAUUAGGUAGGCAGAAAGACAAGUAAGUAAUAGAAGAAUUGACUUUUAAGAUAUAAUUUUUUGGAGGCUAAAUAAGUAAUAAAUAAUAUUACAAAUGUAUUUCAUAUCUCAACAAUGCUUCAAAUAAUUUUGGAUUUCUAAUAAUUUUGGCGGGUGUUUGUGCGUCGGUCCCAAGUUGUGCCAUUUUAGGCUUAGCUAAAUAUACCGCGUAGUUAGUGUAAUUCUAUGUAACGUAAAUAUUAUAGUUUAUUAUCAUAUAUUACCAUUUUGCAUAGCACCUCGUUGAGGUAAACUAAAUGAUUGAUUAGCCUUUUUUUUCAGUUUGCAUCAUAUUGUUUGCCGAUUUUAAAACAGAGAACUAGCGUUUAAAGAAAGAACUCUAAGGACUGGUUCUUACCUGAUAAGUAUCUGAUUGCAUCGAAACUUAACUGGCAGAUAGUAGUAAGCUAAUCUAUGCUAUCAGAUACAGGGGGGUUAAACAGACCAUAUCAAAGCAGUUCAUCUAUAAAAGCCACAUUGCUAUUUGACAUUUGUUUUAUAUGUCAAAUUCCAAUAUUGCUUUUUUAGAUGAAUUGCUUCGAUGUGGCUUUUUAAACCCCCCCAGAUGUCAGUAGGUUUCAAAAGUGAAAUGAAAUCGUCUACGGUGAACUGUGACUUAGCAAUGAACAGUGCAAUAUAAAAAUGACAACGGCUAUAGAAUAUGAGCAUGUCCGACACGUUCUUAGCCGUUUUUUUGUCUCAGAGACAUUAUAGACGGGAGUUGCCAAGCACGCGUCUUUUCCGAAGUACAUGAACUAUUGGUUCAUGUUUUGUUAUUUUAUUUGGGUAAAUUACAGCGAUUAUACUUAACAAUAGAACAGCCUUUAAGAGUUACCACGAACUAUACGAUGUUAUUUAUAUGACAUUUAUAGAGACGUUGAUUUUUUUUCUUACGAGCGUGCGGCAGUGAGUAGAUGUGCUGUACAGUCAUGAGCAAUAUAAUGUACCCACUUUAGGACUCUGUCGCACUAACAUAUUUGACAUUUAGUGAGACUUACAGUUCAAUUUGUCAAAAAAGUUAAUGUGACAUGGUGCCAAAGUGUAUACAUAUUAAUGCUCGUGACCGUGCAUGUAUAGCUCACCUCGAAAACGUGGCAAAAAAAAAGAAUGUAAUGUAAUACGGUAUUUGAUUGGGUCAAAGAUAAAUUAUAAAAUGCUAAUCUAGAAAUAGAAGCCAGUCUAAGUUAAUAAAAAAUCAAUCUCACUUUACUUUUCGACUUAUUUUCAAAUUUUAUUUAUGGAUUUAUACCACCCAUUAAUAAACUAAUCUCAUCUUUGAAACUCCUCAAUAUCAGACAGUUCUUAUAUAAAAACAGGGACUUGAGCAUGAUCUUGAGGGCAGUCUCAGCUGAGAUUAGUUUAUUAAUACUAUCCAUAGUAACAAUGAGUGCGACGUUUGACCGCUUUUGUUGAUGACGUCACAGGACAGUAUUUCCAUACAAACUCCUAAGAAAACUUUCGUUUUGACGUUUCGUAAAAAGUAUACGAUUUGACUAGGUUGUCAAGUAGCCUAUUUGCUCCCGUCUACAAUUUCUCUUGAGCUUAUCGACGUGGGUUAUGAAAACUUUUUGAUCAUGAUUAGUUAUCCAUUGCGCGCAAACACCGCCAUAUACGUUUAACCAAAGAAGUGUGUCUUUGUAAAAUAUUCGGUCGAUAGUAGGUAUAGGUAUGUAGGCAAAUGGGUGUUGCAGCUAUAUAGGAUAAGGGUAGCAUAGGAACGUGUAAUUAUGAAUAUCACAAUGCUGUUUAUGGAGAUCGACUACUCAUACAUACAUAACAUCACGCCCAGUUCCCGUUGGGGUAGGUACGAUGCUGAUAUACCACUCAAAUAUAUAAAUAUAUUUUUUAUUUAUGGACUACUCAAUGAAAUAUACACGUUACAAUCUGUCAAACUUAUAAUUUAACAUUGUAGCAGCGGGCUUAGCACCGUGUGCGCGCGACUCUUUCUCGACUCGACAUACGUCACCCGUCACUCUCUCACAGUACUGCACAGAAAGAGACAGACGAUCUCUGUCGCGGCGAGAAAGAGUCGCGUGCUUACGGUGCUAAGCCCGCAGAUAUCCCUGCGGAUAAUAGAUAACAUAAAGAAUAGUCCAUCUCCAUAAAUAGACGAUAAAAAUAACUAAUAUUAUUACGUAUUAAUAAUAUUGUACAGUGCUUCUAUUUUCUCCAUGUCACUCGGCGAUCAUCGCAUUUCUAAAAUUUCCAUGUUCAAUUGUUUAUUAAUUUUCUUUUUUCGUGAAUUUAAAUUUGAAUUCAGAACAUAGUACAUUUUUGUUUCGUUCUUUAUUUACGCGGGAAUCAAAACAAAAUAACAAUAAAAUAUUCAGUUCUAAAUUCAAAUUCUGUUACACGAUAAAUCUAAUAACUGAUGAACAUCGAAGCAUUCGUUUGUAUUCGGAACUGCGAUGACUGCCGAGGGACAUUUAGCCAAUAGAAGCAUUAUAUUUGUUUUCUUGUUGUAUUGAAAACUGUGUAACUAACUGGCAAGGUCAGCUAAAUAAUGUAAUUUUUCGACACGAACACACAAAAUAAACAUAGAUUUUGUAGAAUUUGCCUUUGCAAUUUUAAAGCGCAAAUGAUGAACUGAACGUGUUUUCACUCAAUGUAUGUGUGUAUUAUCUAGUUUUUGUACUUGUCUUAUCGUAAUAACGAAUAUGGCGCCCCCAAUAUCAGUGUGAUCACCGUUGACAUUUUAUAGAGCAGGGUAUCUUUGUUGAAUGGACUUUCUAAUAAAAUAAAUGAGGAAAAAAAAUAUAAGCUCAAAUGUAGGUGGCAGCACUGUUGAAUGUUAAUACAUUUUGAUAGUUCUCCGUACUGUCCAGCUAAAAUUCGUGAUAAAUUUCCAUGAACUUAAAGCAACGUCGUGUACCCAGCCUAAAGGAUAAGUUACGAAAAAGAAAAGCAGUUGAAAAAAGGCAGUUUUGAUUGAACAUAAGUUUUUCUUUCCGAUCUUUAGGGAAUAAAUAUAACACUGCAGUUAAACGCUACGCAAACGGUUAUAGAGUAAAAAUAUAAUCAAAACAAUAUGCUUGUUUACUCAAAUAGUAUGGGGAACUGUCAAAAUUUAAGAACACUCCGCAGCAGCGACCUCUGGUGGGAGAAAUAGGCAAUUUUUCUCCUCAUUGAAGUUUUAAAGCAUUAUUCAUUUGAAAUAUUACACAUAAGACAAGUAUAAAUAAAUAGAUUAUAAUAUGUCUUACUGUCAUACACACACCCCCAUAACGCAUCAUAUUUAUAGGUUAUUUACCUUAAAGCAGGUUCUCAUGUAAUUCUGUUAUUAAGUUUCAAUCUUGUUAUUUCUACUGUUAUUAACCAUUAUUUAUCUAUAAAAUGUGAUGUCUGUCUAAAGUCUUUAGUGUACCUAUUUUUAUAAGAAUUAAGUCCUAUAAUAUUCUACCAUUUCGUGUAUUUAGUAAUAAUUCGGCUCAAUUUUCAUACUUUUCUAAAUUAUCCAAAGAUGAUUCACUCGCCUCCCACACCCUACAUUUAAAAUGAAUCAAAAUGUAAUAUUCAUAUAAAUGAAUUUGACCAGGGUAACGUCAUGCGAUCAUGGAACGUGUAUCAUUCAUGAUAUUUACAUUAAAUCCAUUAGUUUUACAUUAAAACACCGAUCAUUAAAUUUUGUGCCUAAUGUAAGCACAAUAGUCUGCAUAAUUUUUAUAUGGAACACAAUUUUGUAUGGAACGUAGAAGGUUUUUACUGUAAUUAAUGUAACAUGUUGAAAUGAAUUACAAGAACAAAUCUUAAGAAAACUUGUGCAGUGUGUGGUGAAUGUCUAAGUAGAAACAUAAGCAGCUUAUAUAUACGUCCCACUGUUGGACCUUGGUUUCCAACUAUGUAUGGAGCAUAUUCCAUCACGCUGCUUCAUUGUAGGCUGCUGGUGAACACCCACGCCCUUGCAAAUGUAGUUUAUUGAAAUUUAUUCAUUUAAUAUUUUUAAAAUGACAAUAUAUAAGUUUCCAUAAAGUUUACUUUUUGAAUCGUAAUAUAUGAAAAAAUGUGUUAACCGUGUAUCUGUGAAAAUAUUUUUUUAUAUAAAAUUUUAUAUAUUUCUAACUGGGCACAGGCCUUCCGGAGGAGUCCUGCUACUUCAGCGCGGGUUGGCUUUUUGUUUGUUUGUUUUUUUUUUUUAAGUUUUUGGCAUAAAAUAGCAAAUUUCAAUUCACUUUAGAGUUAUGUAACAAAAGCUCAGAAAGCGGGGUGAGGUGUGGGUACAGUCAUGAGCAAUAUAAUGUACCCACUUUAGGACUCUGUCGCACUAACACAUUUGACAUUUAGUGAGACUUAUAGUUCAAUUUGUCAAAAAAGUUAAUGUGACAUGGUACCAAAGUGUAUACAUAUUAAUGCUCGUGACCGUACUUAGUUCAUCUUGCGAUGGAUUGUACCUCUGACUAACCCUAUUGGGAUAUAGUCGUGAGCUUAUGUAAGCUUCAACCUAAGCCCCACACUGCACAAAUAUGUUCCAUGAUGUAUGUACUGAUGCCUGAGAAACUAGUUUGUAAGAUGUAAAGAAAACAUUUUUUUUAAAUAUUGACUUUAAAAAAAAUACUAUAAUACCGCCUUCGUACUACUAUAAAUGUGCCAAUUUUUUAAUAUCUACCCAUUCGACGCAUUCCAUAAACCCUUGUAACAAGCAUUUUUAAAAAUAGAAUUAACUUUUUUUAUUGACUGACAUUUACGUAAUUUUCUUGACAUUUUUGUUGCAUUUUUGUUUUUUUUGUAAGUAAAGGACUUCAGUAGGAUUUACUGCAACGGGAUCUUUUUAAAGUACUGCAAUAUUAUGCUUCUCUUUAUUUUGAUCAGAAUAACAAGAGUCAUCAUUUAUACCCAAAAACAAAGAUAAAAGAUGCAUAAUAUGUCUAUACAGCGCGAUCUAUAUUUUUUUUUGGCGAACGUAGCCUGGAAAGCCUCAUUGUUGGCAUGUUUACUAUUUGCUCAUUCGAGUCUUAAAUAAGUCCCAAAGUAUAUUUUGCAUUGAUCCCAUUACUCGUAGUCAAAGCCAAGACUGUUAUCAAUCCACACUAUGCUUUCCCGUAGUAACCAUCAAAAUCAAAUCAAAUAUGCUUUAUUGCACAAAAACAUUUUUUAUUUGCAAUAUUUUUCUAAAUUACUUUUAUAAUUUAUUUUCCGUAACAAUAUUGGUUUAUACACUUUUAUUUAAUUUAAUAAAUAAAUUACGCAUUUUUUACAACUCUAUACGUAACAUUUUUGUUUUUUUAUACUCUAUUGACUAAUACUGAAGCGAAAAGACUAAUUAUUUUAUGUUUUUGACGAAAUCAUCACACUCAUUAUGUUUAUACUAAUGUAAGUUAAACCAAAUACGAAAUGACUUGAAAGUUGCUUUAUCCAGAAUUUAGUAGCUUUAGCAUAACACUCGUUUAUCGCGCGCGAUAAAUAAACCAAUUAUUUAGGCUGAUUUAUCGCGUCGAGGUGUUAUGCUACGGCUACAGAUGACCCGUGUUUUUUUUCUUGGUUUAUCGUAUCUAUCUUAGGCCUUCAAUAUUAAAAGUGUGGCUGCAAGUUAUCUCCUCGUGGUUUAAUAAGGCCUCAUCGAAGUUAUUCAAAUAUAAAUCAAAUAUAAAAUUCAAAUAUAAAAGUAAGUGCGCAAUGCAAACAAAUGUCAAAUAGCAAUAUUGCUUUUUUAUGGUGAAUUGCUUUUCAACGUGGUGUUUUAUACCCCUGGUGUCUGAGAGGUAUCUAGUAUAUUUCAAUUCAUUUCGUCAUUUGGCUCUUUACUCGUGUAAAACUAUUAAACCUGAUAUUAAAUUUAGUUCGUAAGGGGAUGUGAAUAACACUUUUGUACGUAUAAAUGAAUAAAACUCGUCGAAUGUUAGCGUUAAGUUACGCAACACAGAAAAUAUGUUGAACAGAUAUGCUUUUUGCUUUUCCUUGAAAGUUUCAAAGGUCAAUGUUACAACUUUGCCUAAGAACAUUGUUUUAAGUUUACGCGGUUAUUAUCAUAAUUAAAGCACAUAAUAACGGGUUCUUACCGCGUUUAAAUGGGGAUAUGAGACUCCCUACUCCUAAACACGGUAAGAACCCGUUAUUAUGUGCUUUAAUUUGCCUAAGAAACCGUACAUAAAAUCCUUUUUUUGCUCCAAUAGAAAAUGAACCAUGGAAUAGGCGAAAUGUAAAACGACGUAACAUGACGUACGACGAAUCUGUUAGGUUAAUGGUGCUAAUUCCUGUACAGUCAUGAACAAAAUCAUGUACCCACUUUAGAACCUUGUCGCACUAUCAUAUUUGGCAUUUACUGAGACUUACGGUUUAAUAUGUCAAAAAAGUUAAUGUGACAUGGUUUCAAAGUGUAUAAAUAUUAGUACUCGUGACCGUAUCGACUAUCUAAUUUUAUUUUAAGUUAUAACUGUCAUUGUCUUAUCCGCUGAAAAAGAAAGGGACGGGUAAUCGACAGGCAUAAAAUUUAUAGAACACACGUCAAUUUUAGGCAGAAAUUUGAAAAACACUUCAAACAUUUUAUAUUGGUCAAUAAUCCGAUAGAAUUAAGUUGACAGCUUACCUCAAACGGGUUGCACAUGCGAGAUGCCCGUUUUAUUCGCGGGUUAUUCAUUCGUUUUAAAAUUAACAGUUGUCAAUCAUCCGUCCCUUUCUUUUUUGGCGGAUGAGAAAAUGACGGAUAUAACUUAAAAUAAAAUUAGGAAGUGUCUGCAGGAAUCGAGCCCAAUGUGUUUCUACGUAGACCAUAGUUGGUGGUAAUUUCUUUAUCAUUUGGCAUAAGUUUAUUGGGCAAUGUUGGACAUUGAUUAUUGACGUUUUCAAUGAUUAAUAAAAAAACAUCCCUGUUGAUACCCAAAGCGGUAAUGCAUCAAGUCAUUUCUGUUAAGUGAAAAUUGUAAUAUAAAAAAAAUGUAUGAACUCACUUUUUUCUAAAUAGUUAUAAAUGUUCCAGUGUUAAGCCUAGAAUCUAUAAUGGCCUGAAGAAUCACCGUAAAAAGAACAAGUUUUAAUUUGUCAUAAAAAGAAGUUAGUUCCAUAAAUAAGUUUGUUAGUAAAGGCAGCAGCUAUCAAAUGUCUCUAAAAACGUUCUCGACGCCUUAAAAUAAUUCUAAAUAAAAACCAGCAUAAUAAGUAUUACUUGUGUAGAAUUCUCUAAAGUGCGUCGAGUAUCAAAGUUACCUAAGUUUUAAAGGUCAAGUUAGACGCUCUGUUGACUCGAUUUAGUGGGCGUAGACCUUUAAAGACGUGAUUCUUUCAAACAUUGUCGGAUUAUUCUCUAUUUUGAUCACAUCGCAUGGUAAAGUUAGAUAAACGAUAACGUCACAUUCGCAUGUAAAUCUAUUUAUUAGACUAUUUAUUUUUAUUUAACCGCCUGUAUUAUUUUCAAUGUAAAAAUAUAUUAUAAGAAAUUUAUCUAUA
rnacentral:misc_RNA from 1 species